AACGCACCUUGCGCUCUAUGGUAUUCCGUAGAGCAUGCCUGUUUGAGUGCCGUGAAUUCUCCCAUCCCAAGCGGUUUUUAUCAAAGAAUUGCUAGGCGAUGGGGUUGAGAUGGGCGUUAUUAUAACUGCUUUUCUUCUCUAGAAAAGCUCGCCCGAAAAGCAGCUAACGCCUCUGGGCCACUUUGCAUCCGCUUCUCUGAGGGGAGGAGCGGCCAAGCGCGCUCUGAUCAUCAGGCAUAGCAUGAUACGGCAUUUGCUAUGCUGUAGGAGAGCAUUUGGUUGUGGUUAUACCGCGUGCGUCAUUUUUUUUUUCUUGCAAAGAGGAAAAAAAGCCCCCCUUUCAUUUCUGGUCUCAAAUCAGGUAGGAUCACCCGCUGAACUUAA
rnacentral:misc_RNA from 1 species